CCCCAAUCAUUACAGCGCAUUGUUUCUUUUCAAUCCACCGCUCCAUUCCUCCUAUUCAGUCUUUUGUAUUCGUGUUGAAAGGGCGUACGCGGGCGCACACAGAGACACAAUUCUCAUACACAUACAUACUGGCUUAGCUCUCUUUCCUCUCUUGAUUUCAUCCGUCUACACAGAGCUCCCGGCUCAACUCUUUCAG
ensembl:ncRNA K08A8.26 ncRNA